CUCCGCCACUAUGGAGGACAUGAACGAAUAUAGCAACAUAGAGGAAUUUGCAGAGGGAUCCAAAAUCAACGCAAGCAAGAAUCAGCAGGAUGUCGGUAAAAUGUUUAUUAGAAGCUUGAGCUGGGACACAAGCAAGAAAGAUCUGACUGAAUAUUUGUCUCGAUUUCGGGAAGUUGUAGACUGCACAAUUAAAACAGAUCCAGUCACCGGAAGAUCAAGAGGAUUUGGAUUUGUGCUUUUUCAAGAUGCUGCUAGUGUUGAUAAGGUUUUGGAACUGAAGGAACACAAACUGGAUGGCAAAUUGAUAGACCCCAAAAGGGCCAAAGCUUUAAAAGGAAAGGAACCUCCCAAAAAGGUUUUUGUGGGUGGAUUGAGUCCAGAUACUUCUGAAGAACAAAUUAAAGAAUAUUUUGGAGCAUUUGGAGAGAUUGAAAAUAUUGAACUUCCCAUGGAUACAAAAACAAACUAAAGAAGAGGAUUUUGUUUUAUCACAUAUACAGAUGAAGAGCCAGUAAAGAAAUUGUUAGAAAGCAGAUACCAUCAAAUUGGUUCUGGGAAGUGUGAAAUCAAACUUGCACAACCCAAAGAGGUAAUAUAGGCAGCAACAGCAACAACAAAAAGGAGGAAGAGGUGCUGCAGCUGGUGGACGAGGUGGUACUGGGGGUCGUGGCUGAGGUCAGGGCCAAAACUGGAACCAAGGAUUUAAUAACUAUUAUGAUCAAGGAUAUGGAAAUUAAACUAGUGCCUAUGGUGGUGAUCAAAACUAUAGUGGCCAUGGCAGCUCUGAUUAUACUGGGUAUAACUAUGGGAACUAUGGAUAUGGACAGGGAUAUGCAGACUGCAGCGGCCAACAGAGCACUUACGGCAAGGCAUCUCGAGGGGGUGGCAAUCACCAAAACAAUUAUCAGCCAUACUAAAGGAGGGCAUUGGGGAGAAAACAGGAGGAGAUUGCUAACGUAACCCAUCUUGCAGGACGACAUUGAAGUUUGGUCUUCUGUUGAUCUAAGAUGAUUAUUUUGUAAAAGACUUUCUAGUGUACAAGACACAACUGUGUCCAACUGUAUAUAGCCGCCAAUUAGUUUUCUUUGUUUUAACUUUUGUCUUUUGCUGUCUGUGUUAUGACUCAAUGUGAAUUUGUGUUUAUACAAAUUUUAUUUGUAUGAUUUCAUGUUAAAUCUCAAAUAAAUGCUUCCUUAUGUGA